GGCUCUUGUAGCCGUUAUGCCAAAUCCUUCAGCUACACUGGGGUACCCUAUGGGCUAUAGUGUGCUCCUUGCAACAAGAAGUGCAAACCACGCUCCGAGCCUGAGUAGCCGUAUAGCGUAUGGCACAGAGCAGCUCGCAAGUUUACAUCAUGAUGGCAUCUUUCCGGAAAGGAGUGCUCCUUGAUGGAUGGAUGGAUGCUACAAGCUUCAGCGAGCCCGUACAGUUCAGACAAACCCGAAGGCUCAUGAACCACUGCAAUCGCGCAAUGAAAAACGGCUUGCAAUUGGGUUGAUCGUAACCAGCAACGUACGGGACUACGGCAUCACCUGAGGUUGAGGCUCGGCUACCUCAUGCAAGCUCGUAAGUCUUCCAGAAAGAAGAUGCUGCUGGGCGCAUUCUGCCUUCUGUUGCCGGGCAACUCCUUCGUAACUCUGCACUGUCCUAUACGCCCCGCCUUGCGUAAGCCAUAAUAUCACUGCAAUUCAUGGAGUAUUUAAUGUCAAAUAUAUAGGUUUUAGGUUCUUGUGUCAUGUGGGUAUCCCUGUAACGCCAAGUCGUGGGACCUUCGAAGCAAGGGCCCGUUCAACAGAGGGGUUCACGGGAAGAGGGCAUGCUGCAUGGUAAGGUUCGGCUGCAUACAAUAACAUUUUUAUAUCCUGUAGAAGAAACUAGUCAAAAGUAACUAAGUUGAUUUUAAGAGCAGCCCUGCCUUCGA
rnacentral:lncRNA from 1 species